CGGACGGGUGAGUAACGCGUGGGUAACCUGCCCUGUACAGGGGGAUAACAGCUGGAAACGGCUGCUAAUACCGCGUAAGCGCACGAGGAGACAUCUCCUUGUGUGAAAAACUCCGGUGGUACAGGAUGGGCUCGCGUCUGAUUAGCUGGUUGGCAGGGUAACGGCCUACCAAGGCAACGAUCAGUAGCCGGUCUGAGAGGAUGAACGGCCACAUUGGAACUGAGACACGGUCCAA
rnacentral:rRNA from 1 species